UGAGCAGAAUCUUGUUGCUUGGGUAAGAGAGUUUCUGGCUCAUUAUUUAUACUAGUCUAAGGUCUUUGUUGUACUAGGUGAAAUUUUGUGGUACGUGAUUAAACAUCACCAGCAUCAUAGCAGUCAGUCAAAAGAUCAACCCUUGAAAUAUCAAUUUUCAAGUCCAUAUGGGUGUCCUACAAUUGAGUGGCCCAGUUAUGUGAUAAAAUUUAUGUGUACUUGGUUGAUUCAAAAUGGUUCUACUUGUUAACUGGUUCCUUUCUGAUGACCGCCAACUGUGUUGAAAGUAGCUGACUGAUUUUUAUUUUUUCAGUUGUGGUUGCUUUUCUGUCUUAUGUUAGUAAUAUUUUUUGACUUCCAUUAUAAACUACUGAACCUGAUCAUUCUAUGAGUAGAUAAUGAUAGAGCAUCUUUACAAUGUGCCAUGCAUAGUAAUUUUUUUCAAAAGUAAGAUCUUUUACUUUGUUGCUUUGUUUCCAUAGUCUGUUGCUUUACAAUUUUUUCAUGUUUAUUCAUGAAUCUGUAAUUUUACAUUUAAAAUGAUAUUUUGUUAUAGAAAGCUUUUAAAAAGGUUAUAGGCUAAGAGUUCAUGGAAAUGUAGAUUUUCAUGGAGUUUGAGAAGAUUGUUAAUUCUUUUUCCUGAUAAUUUAGAUCUGUUGGCUAGUGGAGGGUCUGUUCUGGAAUUAUCUGAUUAAGAAUUGAAGUAGAUACAAAGGAAUUAUAAUUAACUGAGAGUAGCAUCACUGAUGAGGCUUAUGAAAUCUAUUGGAUUCUUUGCAG
rnacentral:misc_RNA from 1 species